UUAAGCGACUAAGCGUACACGGUGGAUGCCCUGGCAGUCAGAGGCGAUGAAGGACGUGCUAAUCUGCGAUAAGCGUCGGUGAGGUGAUAUGAACCGUUAUAACCGGCGAUUUCCGAAUGGGGAAACCCAGUGUGUUUCGACACACUAUCAUUAACUGAAUCCAUAGGUUAAUGAGGCGAACCGGGGGAACUGAAACAUCUAAGUACCCCGAGGAAAAGAAAUCAACCGAGAUUCCCCCAGUAGCGGCGAGCGAACGGGGAGGAGCCCAGAGCCUGAAUCAGUGUGUGUGUUAGUGGAAGCGUCUGGAAAGGCGCGCGAUACAGGGUGACAGCCCCGUACACAAAAAUGCACAUGCUGUGAGCUCGAUGAGUAGGGCGGGACACGUGGUAUCCUGUCUGAAUAUGGGGGGACCAUCCUCCAAGGCUAAAUACUCCUGACUGACCGAUAGUGAACCAGUACCGUGAGGGAAAGGCGAAAAGAACCCCGGCGAGGGGAGUGAAAAAGAACCUGAAACCGUGUACGUACAAGCAGUGGGAGCCUCUUAAUGGGGUGACUGCGUACCUUUUGUAUAAUGGGUCAGCGACUUAUAUUCUGUAGCAAGGUUAACCGAAUAGGGGAGCCGAAGGGAAACCGAGUCUUAACUGGGCGUUAAGUUGCAGGGUAUAGACCCGAAACCCGGUGAUCUAGCCAUGGGCAGGUUGAAGGUUGGGUAACACUAACUGGAGGACCGAACCGACUAAUGUUGAAAAAUUAGCGGAUGACUUGUGGCUGGGGGUGAAAGGCCAAUCAAACCGGGAGAUAGCUGGUUCUCCCCGAAAGCUAUUUAGGUAGCGCCUCGUGAAUUCAUCUCCGGGGGUAGAGCACUGUUUCGGCAAGGGGGUCAUCCCGACUUACCAACCCGAUGCAAACUGCGAAUACCGGAGAAUGUUAUCACGGGAGACACACGGCGGGUGCUAACGUCCGUCGUGAAGAGGGAAACAACCCAGACCGCCAGCUAAGGUCCCAAAGUCAUGGUUAAGUGGGAAACGAUGUGGGAAGGCCCAGACAGCCAGGAUGUUGGCUUAGAAGCAGCCAUCAUUUAAAGAAAGCGUAAUAGCUCACUGGUCGAGUCGGCCUGCGCGGAAGAUGUAACGGGGCUAAACCAUGCACCGAAGCUGCGGCAGCGACACUAUGUGUUGUUGGGUAGGGGAGCGUUCUGUAAGCCUGUGAAGGUGGCCUGUGAGGGUUGCUGGAGGUAUCAGAAGUGCGAAUGCUGACAUAAGUAACGAUAAAGCGGGUGAAAAGCCCGCUCGCCGGAAGACCAAGGGUUCCUGUCCAACGUUAAUCGGGGCAGGGUGAGUCGACCCCUAAGGCGAGGCCGAAAGGCGUAGUCGAUGGGAAACAGGUUAAUAUUCCUGUACUUGGUGUUACUGCGAAGGGGGGACGGAGAAGGCUAUGUUGGCCGGGCGACGGUUGUCCCGGUUUAAGCGUGUAGGCUGGUUUUCCAGGCAAAUCCGGAAAACCAAGGCUGAGGCGUGAUGACGAGGCACUACGGUGCUGAAGUGACAAAUGCCCUGCUUCCAGGAAAAGCCUCUAAGCAUCAGGUAACAUCAAAUCGUACCCCAAACCGACACAGGUGGUCAGGUAGAGAAUACCAAGGCGCUUGAGAGAACUCGGGUGAAGGAACUAGGCAAAAUGGUGCCGUAACUUCGGGAGAAGGCACGCUGAUAUGUAGGUGAAGCGACUUGCUCGUGGAGCUGAAAUCAGUCGAAGAUACCAGCUGGCUGCAACUGUUUAUUAAAAACACAGCACUGUGCAAACACGAAAGUGGACGUAUACGGUGUGACGCCUGCCCGGUGCCGGAAGGUUAAUUGAUGGGGUUAGCGGUAACGCGAAGCUCUUGAUCGAAGCCCCGGUAAACGGCGGCCGUAACUAUAACGGUCCUAAGGUAGCGAAAUUCCUUGUCGGGUAAGUUCCGACCCGCACGAAAGGCGUAACGAUUUGGGCACUGUCUCAACGAGAGACUCGGUGAAAUCAUAGUACCUGUGAAGAUGCAGGUUACCCGCGACAGGACGGAAAGACCCCGUGGAGCUUUACUGUAGCCUGAUAUUGAAAUUCGGCACAGCUUGUACAGGAUAGGUAGGAGCCUUUGAAACGUGAGCGCUAGCUUACGUGGAGGCGUUGGUGGGAUACUACCCUAGCUGUGUUGGCUUUCUAACCCGCACCACUUAUCGUGGUGGGAGACAGUGUCAGGCGGGCAGUUUGACUGGGGCGGUCGCCUCCUAAAAGGUAACGGAGGCGCUCAAAGGUUCCCUCAGAAUGGUUGGAAAUCAUUCAUAGAGUGUAAAGGCAUAAGGGAGCUUGACUGCGAGACCUACAAGUCGAGCAGGGUCGAAAGACGGACUUAGUGAUCCGGUGGUUCCGCAUGGAAGGGCCAUCGCUCAACGGAUAAAAGGUACCCCGGGGAUAACAGGCUUAUCUCCCCCAAGAGUUCACAUCGACGG
rnacentral:rRNA from 1 species